rnacentral:rRNA from 1 species
GAUGAACGCUAGCGGGAGGCCUAACACAUGCAAGCCGAGCGGUAUUUGUCUUUCGGGACAGAGAGAGCGGCGUACGGGUGCGGAACACGUGUGCAACCUGCCUUUAUCAGGGGGAUAGCCUUUCGAAAGGAAGAUUAAUACCCCAUAAUAUAUGAUUCGUCAUCGGAUUAUAUUGAAAACUGAGGUGGAUAAAGAUGGGCACGCGCAAGAUUAGAUAGUUGGUGAGGUAACGGCUCACCAAGUCGAUGAUCUUUAGGGGGCCUGAGAGGGUGAUCCCCCACACUGGUACUGAGACACGGACCAGACUCCUACGGGAGGCAGCAGUGAGGAAUAUUGGACAAUGGGUGAGAGCCUGAUCCAGCCAUCCCGCGUGAAGGACGACGGUUCUAUGGAUUGUAAACUUCUUUUAUAUAGGGAUAAACCUACUUACGUGUAAGUAGCUGAAGGUACUAUAUGAAUAAGCACCGGCUAACUCCGUGCCAGCCGCCGCAGUAA